UUUCCGUAGGUGAACCUGCGGAAGGAUCAUUAUCGUACAAAAUGUGAGGGGCAUGCGAGGGCUGUCGCUGACCCAAAAGUCUUGCACGCCCGAGUGUGUCCUCUUGCAUAAUAAUCCAUCUCACCCUUUGUGCAUCACCGCGUGGGCACCCUUCGGGAUCAUCUCGGAGGGGGGCUCGCGUUUUCUCACAAACCCCCCUUUUAAAAGUGUAGAAUGACCACAUUUAUGCAAUCAAUACAACUUUCAACAACGGAUCUCUUGGCUCUC
rnacentral:misc_RNA from 1 species